GAAUGAAACAACGGUUACAGGUGUGGAAGCCGGCAAAAAGGCAGCAGCAGAAGUUCUGGCUCUGCAAAAGCGGGUGUUGUCAGUUCUUAAUGAAGCCACGUGUAAAGAUCCGGUAGAGCCAUUGACAUUGGAAGAGAUAGCUGAUCGUUGCCAUGCUCC